rnacentral:rRNA from 1 species
GACGAACGCGUGGCGGCGCGCCUAACACAUGCAAGUCGAACGAGCGGAGAGAGAGUUUGCUUUCUCGAGCGAGUGGCGAACGGGUGAGUAACGCGUGAGGAACCUGCCUCAAAGAGGGGGACAACAGUUGGAAACGACUGCUAAUACCGCAUAAGCCCACAGCUCGGCAUCGAGCAGAGGGAAAAGGAGUGAUCCGCUUUGAGAUGGCCUCGCGUCCGAUUAGCUGGUUGGUGUGAUAAAAGCUUACCAAGCCGACGAUCUGUAGCUGGUCUGAGAGGACGACCAGCCACACUGGGACUGAGACACGGCCCAG